rnacentral:rRNA from 1 species
AUUGAACGCUGGCGGCAAGCCUUACACAUGCAAGUCGAACGAGUGGCGGACGGGUGAGUAAUAUCUGGGAACCUGCCUGAUGGCGGGGGAUAACUACUGGAAACGGUAGCUAAUACCGCAUACCAUCGGAUCUGCCCAGAUGGGAUUAGCUAGUAGGUGGGGUAAAGGCUCACCUAGGCGACGAUCCCUAGCUGGUCUGAGAGGAUGACCAGCCACACUGGAACUGAGACACGGUCCAGACUCCUACGGGAGGCAGCAGUGGGGAAUAUUGCACAAUGGGGGCAAGCCUGAUGCAGCCAUGCCGCGUGUAUGAAGAAGGCCUUCGGGUUGUAAAGUACUUUCGGCGGAGAGGCGUUACCCGCAGAAGAAGCACCGGCUAACUACGUGCCAGCAGCCGCGGUAAUUC